rnacentral:rRNA from 1 species
UGGGGAAUAUUGGACAAUGGGCGCAAGCCUGAUCCAGCCAUGCCGCGUGAGUGACGAAGGCCUUAGGGUUGUAAAGCUCUUUUGGCGGGGAAGAUAAUGACGGUACCCGCAGAAUAAGCUCCGGCUAACUUCGUGCCAGCAGCCGCGGUAAUACGAAGGGAGCUAGCGUUGUUCGGAAUCACUGGGCGUAAAGCGCACGUAGGUGGGCAGUUAAGUCAGGGGUGAAAGCCCGAGGCUCAACCUCGGAAUUGCCUCUGAUACUGGCUGUCUAGAGUCCGAGAGAGGUGGGUGGAAUUCCUAGUGUAGAGGUGAAAUUCGUAGAUAUUAGGAAGAACACCGGUGGCGAAGGCGGCCCACUGGCUCGGUACUGACACUGAGGUGCGAAAGCGUGGGGAGCAAACAGGAUUAGAUACCCCCGUAGUCCCUGAGCGGGCUGGCAAGGCGCAU